UGCAAGUCGAACGCAGUAGCAAUACUGAGUGGCAAACGGGUGAGUAUAAUGUGGGUAUCUGCCUUUUGGUUUGGAAUAACAUGAGGAAACUUGUGCUAAUACCGAAUAAGCCUUCACAGGGAAAGUUUUAACGCCGAAAGAUGAGCCCGCACUUGAUUAGUUUGUUGGUGAGGUAAUGGCUCACCAAGACAAUUAUCAAUAGCUGGUCUGAGAGGACGAUCAGCCACAUUGGGACUGAGACACGGCCCAGACUCCUACGGGAGGCAGCAGUAAGGAAUCUUGCACAAUGGGGGAAACCCUGAUGCAGCGAUGCCGCGUGAGUGAAGAAGGCCCUUGGGUUGUAAAACUCUUUCGUCGGGGAAGAAAAUGACUGUACCCGAAUAAGAAGGUCCGGCUAACUUCGUGCCAGCAGCCGCGGUAAUACGAAGGGACCUAGCGUAGUUCGGAAUUACUGGGCUUAAAGAGCUCGUAGGUGGUUAAAAUAGUUGAUGGUGAAAUCCCAAGGCUCAACCUUGGAACUGCCAUCAAAACUUUUUAGCUAGAGUGUGAUAGAGGAAAGUGGAAUUUCUAGUGUAGAGGUGAAAUUCGUAGAUAUUAGAAAGAACACCAAAUGCGAAGGCAACUUUCUGGGUCACUACUGACACUGAGGAGCGAAAGCAUGGGUAGCGAAGAGGAUUAGAUACCCUCGUAGUCCAUGCCGUAAACGAUGUGUGCUAGACGUUGGAAAUAUAUUUUUCAGUGUCGCAGCGAAAGCAUUAAGCACACCGCCUGGGGAGUACGACCGCAAGGUUAAAACUCAAAUGAAUUGACGGGGACCCGCACAAGCAGUGGAGCAUGUGGUUUAAUUCGAAGAUACGCGCAGAACCUUACCAACACUUGACAUGUUCGUCGCGAGACCAAGAGAUUGGUUUCUUCAUUUAGUUGGACGAAACACAGGUGCUGCAUGGCUGUCGUCAGCUCGUGUC
rnacentral:rRNA from 1 species